CAGCAGCCACGGGAAUACGUAGGUGGCAAGCGUUGUCCGGAAUUAUUGGGCGUAAAGGGCUCGCAGGCGGUUUCUUAAGUCUGAUGUGAAAGCCCACGGCUCAACCGUGGAGGGUCAUUGGAAACUGGAAAACUUGAGUGCAGAAGAGGAAAGUGGAAUUCCAUGUGUAGCGGUGAAAUGCGCAGAGAUAUGGAGGAACACCAGUGGCGAAGGCGACUUUCUGGUCUGUAACUGACGCUGAUGUGCGAAAGCGUGGGGAUCAAACAGGAUUAGAGACCCCUGUAGUCCCUGUCUCUUAUAC
rnacentral:rRNA from 1 species